rnacentral:rRNA from 1 species
GACGAACGCUGGCGGCGUGCCUAACACAUGCAAGUCGAACGGAACUGUUUUGAAAGAUUUCUUCGGAAUGAAUUUGAUUUAGUUUAGUGGCGGACGGGUGAGUAACGCGUGAGUAACCUGCCUUCAAGAGGGGAAUAACAUUCUGAAAAGAAUGCUAAUACCGCAUGACAUAUCGGAACCACAUGGUUUUGAUAUCAAAGAUUUUAUCGCUUGAAGAUGGACUCGCGUCCGAUUAGUUAGUUGGUGAGGUAACGGCCCACCAAGACCGCGAUCGGUAGCCGGACUGAGAGGUUGAACGGCCACAUUGGGACUGAGACACGGCCCAGACUCCUACGGGAGGCAGCAGUGGGGGAUAUUGCGCAAUGGGGGCAACCCUGACGCAGCAACGCCGCGUGAAGGAUGAAGGUUUUCGGAUUGUAAACUUCUUUUAUUAAGGACGAAAAAUGACGGUACUUAAUGAAUAAGCUCCGGCUAACUACGUG